rnacentral:lncRNA from 1 species
GCGCCACCCUCCCCCCGGAGGGGGAUCCCGGCGCGCCACCCUCCCCCCGGAGGGGGAUCCCGGCGCGCCACCCUCCCCCCGGAGGGGGAUCCCGGCGCGCCACCCUCCCCCCGGAGGGGGAUCCCGGCGCGCCACCCUCCCCCCGGAGGGGGAUCCCGGCGCGCCACCCUCCCCGGCAACAACCUGUUGCCAUGUAUUGCGAUUUGUAUCAGUCACAAGCACACAACCCCUUCUAGUAUUAAUGAUGUUUAAAACGUUCUACACGUACGGCGGACCGCAUCCGUCGCAAGCACGCGCAUAUAACCCCCAAAUGCACCAUGAUGAGAAGCACAGCCACGCGUCAAAAAACUUUAAAAACAUCGUUAUCCAAUAUUAAAAACCACACCGAAAUUUACACAGGUGGCACGUUACCGUGUUAGUGUCACCCACUGUACACAAGGCGUGUCGUAUAUGUAGUAUAGGUAUUUGAUGAGGCGGAAGCAUAUCCCGCUUCCAGCGAACGGAAAUAAGGACCAUCCGUUCCAGCAUUUAUUCAAAGGGGGCACAGAGGGUUCACAUUGUUUAGAGAGAGUUUUUCUUAGUAACCAUUCCAUACUUUGGCAGUAUUGGCCUACGAUUUGGGCGACGUUUCAGGCUGGUCUAUUCUCCGUCCACUUUUCCCCGGCUAUUCUAUCCCAGCAUAGGCUCUUGAAAUAAACAAUGUUUACCGAGUAAAA